AGUACAUGUUGGCAUUCAUGGUUCCCUCAAUGAACUGUAGUUCCCCAGUGCCGGCAGCACUCAUGCAGCCCCAGACCAUGACACUCCCACCACCAUGCUUGACUGUAGGCAAGACACACUUGUCUUUGUACUCCUCACCUGGUUGCCGCCACACACGCUUGACACCAUCUGAACCAAAUAAGUUUAUCUUGGUCUCAUCAGACCACAGGACAUGGUUCCAGUAAUCCAUGUCCUUAGUCUGCUUGUCUUCAGCAAACUGUUUGCGGGCUUUCUUGUGCAUCAUCUUUAGAAGAGGCUUCCUUCUGGGACGACAGCAAUGCAGACCAAUUUGAUGCAGUGUGCGGCGUAUGGUCUGAGCACUGACAGGCUGACCCCCACCCCUUCAACCUCUGCAGCAAUGCUGGCAGCACUCAUAUGUCUAUUUACCAAAGACAACCUCUUGAUAUGACGCUGAGCACGUGCACUCAACUUCUUUGGUCGACCAUGGCGAGGCCUGUUCUGAGUGGAACCUGUCCUGUUAAACGACUGUAUGGUCUUGGCCACCGUGCUGCAGCUCAGUUUCAGGGUCUUGGCAAUCUUCUUAUAGCCCAGGCCAUCUUUAUGUCGAGCAACAAUUCUUUUUUUCAGAUCCUCAGAGAGUUCUUUGCCAUGAGGUGCCAUGUCAAACUUCCAGUGACCAGUCAGUAUGAGGAGUGUGAGAGCGAUGACACAAAAUUUAACACACCUGCUCCCCAUUCACACCUGAGACCUUGUAACACUAACGAGUCACAUGACACCGGGGAGGGAAAAUGGCUAAUUGGGCCCAAUUUGGACAAUUUCACUUAGGGGUGUACUCACUUUUGUUGCCAGCGGUUUAAACAUUAAUGGCUGUGUGUUGAGUUAUUUUGAGUGGACAGCAAAUUUACACUGUUAUACAAGCUGUACACUCAAUACUUUACAUUGUAGCAAAGUGUCAUUUCUUCAGUGUUGUCACAUGAAAAGAUAUACUCAAAUAUUUACAAAAAUGUGAGGGGUGUACUCACUUUUGUGAGAUACUGUAUAUCAUUGAUGAAUUCAUCUAGGCAAAGUCAAAAUGUACUUUAUGCAUGACGUUUUAUUUAAUGAAGUAUUAUAAAAUAUACUGCAUCUGCUUGAAUUUCAAAAUGCUAUAAAUGCAAAGAAAAUCUACAGUAUCUGUAUUUGAGCAUUCGCAUCAUGAUUUCAGCUUUUUGCAAUUGUCUUUAAGCUUUGAAUAUUGUUAAAAUGUAUUACUACCAGUUAGGAGAUUAGUUGAAAUUAGCUUUUUUAUAUUAUUUAUGGUUGGCAACAUGUUCAUGUACAAAAAGCAAGCAUUGCAUUGAGCGUUUGAAUAGUAAAAAGCCUGACUUAAGUUGUAGAAUACUGUUAUGCAUAUCAAUAGAUAGUAUUGAAACAAUGUUAAAGAAGAAAAUAAAAUCCUGGCUUUAGUUUAAAUCAAAAUAUUUGUUUUCAUAGUCAUACUGCCAAAGUUGAAAUAGUUGCAGUUAUUGCAGUAUAUCAAUAUUGUUCAAGCUGCAAAGUACAUGCUUGUGUUUCAUUUUAUGUUUGUUGUUUGUCAUGGGCCAUCAUGUGUGCCCAGGAAUGAUUGUCCAUUCAAUAACUAAAGAUGAAGCUCAACUAAUACUUGAAGGUGUCUACUAAAGGGCGACAUACACGGCUAUAGAAACAAUUGCAAUAGCACUUUUCUAGAAGGGGAAAAUGUAUAGUAUAUUUCUUGUUAUAACAUUUUUGAAACUAUUUCCUUUUUACAAUAUCAAAAAUGUAUUUGUUCACAUAUAAUUAGCUAUGCCUAUUUAUCUAUAAUACAUACCUGUUGCUUCAUUUUAAAGUAUCAGUAUCUGCAAAAUAUUUUAAAAUAUCUUGUUGAACAUUUCUACUACUACUCAUUACUAAUUUUACUUAGGUCGGAAUUAAUUUGUUUAAAUUGUCACUCAAUCAGUUUUGUUUGUGACAUAAAUCAUUGAAAGGAAACAUGGCACUGGAAAACAUUAUGUUGUUUCUGCUUCUAAGUUGUUAUUGGUCUUUAGAGCUGAUGUAUUACUGUUUAUGAUGUAUCUUGUAUAUGUACAUUUACUAUGAAACUAUAAACCUCAAAUGUAAUACAUUUAUUUGAACAUCUUUCUUUUCCCCAUUAAUAUUACUGCAUGCUGUUUGGAGUGUCUGAUAUGAGCUUGACACUUCAACAAAUGCCCCCCCAAAAUAACCUUAAUUCUAAUUUUGAGAGAGUUUCUAGAUUCGCUUUGUAAACUUUGACUUACGAGAAAGCCAAGGCAUGCCCAAAUUCCAGUGAAAAACGGCAGUGAGGGUCUACUUUGAGUUGACCAGUCGACCGUAUACACUAGGUCAGGUCACUUACACUGUAGGUGAGAGUGUUUGACAGCAAUCCGCUCAACUGAGUCUUCCGCUACACUCACACGCCACAUCUGCCUUGUGAGCAUGAGGUUGGAUAAUGAAGUACACAUGCUGAAGUCAUUCAGUGCAGGAACUCAAUUUGCCGGGAGGUAAUACAAUAUGACUUCACUUGAGCAUACUAUACAGGACACAACGUCAUCCUCAUCUAGAGAAGUGACUUACUUAGCUUUUCUUAAUUCAACAACAAAAGAAGCCCCACAUUUUGAUUACGACAAAUGCCCAGUAUGACCCUUAGAGAUUUGGAAUAUAAAUAGAAUUGAGCGGGCAGGCUUUUAAAAAAUCAACAGAUGCUUUUUGAUGCACUAGCUGACAGCUUAGAAAGGUAUAGCAUCCCAAAGCAUGACAUAUAUCUGGCUCUUGUGACUAGUUUGUUUCCGUGCCAGGAAGACCCAGGAAGUGACGCCUGAUUGACCACUGAUCUCUGCCAGGCUGUCAUUGACAUAGUAUUGUCUCUUGGUUUCCUCAAGUGUCCUUGCUGUCGGUGCUACAUCGGUAAAACGUGUUAUGACGCUAAAUUAGCAGAUGUGACAGCACGUCGUUCCAUUACCUGAUUGAAAUCCCUG
rnacentral:lncRNA from 1 species